rnacentral:rRNA from 1 species
CAAUAGCGUAUAUUAAAGUUGUUGCGGUUAAAAAGCUCGUAGUCGGAUCUUGGCUGAGAACGAUCGGUCCGCCGUUAGGUGUGCACUGAUUGGUCUCAGCUUCCUGGUGAGGAGGUGUGCUUCGCGGCCACUUAGUCACCGUGGUUACUUUGAAAAAAUUAGAGUGUUCAAAGCGGGCUUACGCUUGAAUAUAUUAGCAUGGAAUAACACCAUAGGACUCCUGUCCUAUUUCGUUGGUCUCGGGACGGGAGUAAUGAUUAAGAGGAACAGUUGGGGGCAUUCGUAUUUCAUUGUCAGAGGUGAAAUUCUUGGAUUUAUGAAAGACGAACUUCUGCGAAAGCAUUUGCCAAGGAUGUUUUCAUUGAC